UAGAGUUUGAAUGUGUGUUUGGGUUUUUUUGUGCAGAUAUUGUGGUGGAUGAUUUUGCGAGUUGCAGGAAUCACAUUAUGGAUCUCUGAUCUUCGAUCUAAACUGGAGGAAUUCUUCAAUGCACAAAUGGCUUACUUGUGCGGAUAGAAUAGAAAUCAUGAUGCUCGGUAAGCUUCACAGUUUCUUAAACAAAGAGAUUCCAGAAAACAUGAUUGUGAGGAUUUCACAUGG